GACGAACGCUGGCGGCGUGCUUAACACAUGCAAGUCGAACGGAAAGGCCCUGCUUUUGUGGGGUGCUCGAGUGGCGAACGGGUGAGUAACACGUGAGUAACCUGCCCUUGACUUUGGGAUAACUUCAGGAAACUGGGGCUAAUACCGGAUAGGAGCUCCUGCUGCAUGGUGGGGGUUGGAAAGUUUCGGCGGUUGGGGAUGGACUCGCGGCUUAUCAGCUUGUUGGUGGGGUAGUGGCUUACCAAGGCUUUGACGGGUAGCCGGCCUGAGAGGGUGACCGGCCACAGUGGGACUGGAAUACGGCCCAGACUCCUACGGGAGGCAGCAGUGGAGAAUAUUGCACAAUGGGCUGAAGCCUGAUGCAGCAACGCCGCGUGCGGGAUGACGGCCUUCGGGUUGUAAACCGCUUUCGCCUGUGACGAAGCGUGAGUGACGGUAAUGGGUAAAGAAGCACCGGCUAACUACGUG
rnacentral:rRNA from 1 species